CAGUUUGAUUCUGACUGAGAAAUUAACUUUAUACCAACUAACAUACAUGUAAAAUAUUUUAUGCCCGCAUUAAUUCACAUCUAAAAGACUUAAUAAAUGUAUUAAGAAUUCCCGAUACAGCAGAGCGCCACAGUAGACAACACUUUUCAAUUUGAAAAAUCAAGAAAAGAGUAUGGUAAGAGGGCUGGCAAAAUUCGUGCCAGCUGCCGCGGUUAGACGAAAAGCCCAAGUUAAUAAAAUAUAAACUAAAUUAAUGAUAAACUAAAUAAUAAUAAAGGUCUAAUUUUAAAAUCUGUGACCCUUAUUUAUCAAGUAACAAAUGAAAUCAUGAACUAAAACAUGGAUUAGAUACCCACCUAUUCAUGACGUAAAUAAAAGUUGGAUAUUACGAACAAUAGUUUAAAAUUCAAAGAUUUUGGCGGUGUCUUAUAAAAUCAGGGGAACCUGUCUCAUAACUCGAUAGUCCACGUAUACUCAACCUCCCUUUGAUAGUCAGCAUGUGUACUGCCGUUGUAAGCACACCUUUAAAAGAAUAGUGUGCCACUAUGACUAAAAGAUAGCUCAUAUACAUCAGGUCAAAGUGCAGCCAAUGAGGGGGUGAUGAUGGGUUACAACCCUAAAAUAGACUAUCAACUAAGAAAUAAAAAAUCUUACGAAAGUGGACUUGACCGUAAUCAAUUUACAAGUUAAAUAAAUGAACAAUAUCUAAGACAUGCACACAUCGCCCGUCACUCUACCCUAAAGGGUAGAUAAGUCGUAACAAAGUAGGUGUAAUGGAAAUUGCACCUGU
rnacentral:ncRNA from 1 species